GAGACAGGUGUUAGAUUACUCAGCUGUUCUAGUGGUCUGAGGCAGGUGUUAGAUUACUCAGCUGUUCUAGUGGUCUGAGGCAGGUGGUAGAUUACUCAGCUGUUCUAGUGGUCUGAGACAGGUGUUAGAUUACUCAGCUGUUCUAGUGGUCUGAGGCAGGUGUUAGAUUACUCAGCUGUUCUAGUGGUCUGAGACAGGUGUUAGAUUACUCAGCUGUUCUAGUGGUCUGAGGCAGGUGUUAGAUUACUCAGCUGUUCUAGUGGUCUGAGGCAGGUGUUAGAUUACUCAGCUGUUCUAGUGGUCUGAGGCAGGUGUUAGAUUACUCAGCUGUUCUAGUGGUCUGAGGCAGGUGUUAGAUUACUCAGCUGUUCUAGUGGUCUGAGGCAGGUGUUAGAUUACUCAGCUGUUCUAGUGGUCUGAGGCAGGUGGUAGAUUACUCAGCUGUUCUAGUGGUCUGAGACAGGUGUUAGAUUACUCAGCUGUUCUAGUGGUCUGAGGCAGGUGUUAGAUUACUCAGCUGUUCUAGUGGUCUGAGGCAGGUGUUAGAUUACUCAGCUGUUCUAGUGGUCUGAGGCAGGUGGUAGAUUACUCAGCUGUUCUAGUGGUCUGAGG